rnacentral:rRNA from 1 species
UACGAAGGGAGCGAGCGUUGUUCGGAAUCACUGGGCUUAAAGCGUGCGUAGGUGGAUUGGUAAGUAAGGAGUGAAAUCCCAGGGCUUAACCCUGGAACUGCUCUUUAGACUGCCUGUCUGGAAUUCGGUAGAGGUUGGUGGAACUCCCAGUGUAGAGGUGAAAUUCGCAGAUAUUGGGAAGAACACCGGUGGCGAAGGCGACCAACUGGACCGACAUUGACACUGAGGCACGAAAGCGUGGGUAGCAAACAGG